rnacentral:rRNA from 1 species
CUACGGGUGGCUGCAGUGGGGAAUAUUGCACAAUGGGCGCAAGCCUGAUGCAGCCAUGCCGCGUGUAUGAAGAAGGCCUUCGGGUUGUAAAGUACUUUCAGCGGGGAGGAAGGGAGUAAAGUUAAUACCUUUGCUCAUUGACGUUACCCGCAGAAGAAGCACCGGCUAACUCCGUGCCAGCAGCCGCGGUAAUACGGAGGGUGCAAGCGUUAAUCGGAAUUACUGGGCGUAAAGCGCACGCAGGCGGUUUGUUAAGUCAGAUGUGAAAUCCCCGGGCUCAACCUGGGAACUGCAUCUGAUACUGGCGAGCUUGAGUCUCGUAGAGGGGGGUAGAAUUCCGGGUGUAGCGGUGAAAUGCGUAGAGAUCUGGAGGAAUACCGGUGGCGAAGGCGGCCCCCUGGACGAAGACUGACGCUCAGGUGCGAAAGCGUGGGGAGCAAACAGGAUUAGAUACCCGGGUAGUC